CCGUAGGUGACCUGCGGAGGGAUCAUUUACACAAAUAUGAAGGCGGGCUGGAACCUCUCGGGGUUACAGCCUUGCUGAAUUAUUCACCCUUGUCUUUUGCGUACUUCUUGUUUCCUUGGUGGGUUCGCCCACCACUAGGACAAACAUAAACCUUUUGUAAUUGCAAUCAGCGUCAGUAACAAAUUAAUAAUUACAACUUUCAACAACGGAUCUCUUGGUUCUGGCAUCGAUGAAGAACGCAGCGAAAUGCGAUAAGUAGUGUGAAUUGCAGAAUUCAGUGAAUCAUCGAAUCUUUGAACGCACAUUGCGCCCUUUGGUAUUCCAAAGGGCAUGCCUGUUCGAGCGUCAUUUGUACCCUCAAGCUUUGCUUGGUGUUGGGCGUCUUGUCUCUAGCUUUGCUGGAGACUCGCCUUAAAGUAAUUGGCAGCCGGCCUACUGGUUUCGGAGCGCAGCACAAGUCGCACUCUCUAUCAGCAAAGGUCUAGCAUCCAUUAAGCCUUUUUUUCAACUUUUGACCUCGGAUCAGGUAGGGAUACCCGCUGAACUUAAGCAUAUCA
rnacentral:rRNA from 1 species